UCUGUCAAUCAUGCUGACGUUCCGUAUGAACUCUAAUUUAGAGCUUCAUGAGUUCACCCAGCCUUUGCUCAAAAAAAAGAAGAGUUCAUCCAGCCUCCGUCACAUCUAUCAUCACUUCUAAUAAAGGUAUUCACUAUGUUGAACUAAGCAUACUUUCCCACCUUAUACCGUUUCAGGUAUCCAUCGGUCCACUACUAUAAAUAUGUGGCAAAUAACGCUAUUUUCACUCACUAUUUUCACUUCCCAGUUAUGCCUAAUGUUGAUUUUCUCAGCGAUGUCGCGAAACUUCUUUUCCAUGAGCUCGAUGAGAUACUCUGAUGUUUUAUUGGAAUAAUAAUUUCAAGUAUUACGUGGUUAUAUUGAUGUAUCGUAUCAGAUGGAGAACAUAUUAGAAUUUUUAGGCUAGAACAAGUUUUAGUUGAUCACAAGACUGGCCGAAAGCAAUAUUCUUUGAGUUUACUCCAGACCUAUAUAUUAACUUCAGGUAAAUAUAUUUGCCAAGGAUGAUGACCUUCAAAAUCAGGCUCAACCUCUUGAAGAUUUUGCAAGAAGGCUUAAACCGAAGGAAAAAAGUGUGGUGACUGUGGUAAGAAAGACUUUUGAUCAGUUGGUAUCAAACUGUCCUGAUAAUGUUCAUCUUGAGGUACAUAAACCAUAGUGUUGAAUUGUAAGGCACUGAGAAGCACAUGUCGUGAAGUUGGCUAAGCAUUUCAAAGGCUUUGAGAAUUUUAUUUGUAAGAAUUUAUGCAUCGGAAAAUGAGCAGCCUAAACUACAUGUGAAUUAAAUCUUACCUAAAACCAAGAUAUGUGAUUCCCAAAUCAUGACCCGAUCUUUGUUAAUGACAGGUUAAUGAUUAUCUGACGACAUUUCUCUACAAAUUUGGUAGAAAUGAGAAGCAGAAUAACCUUUUUCAUAGAGCUUCACUAGCUCAAACCCUUUUCGCUUUUACUACUUUUUGGUGUAUCUUAACAAGUCUGAUUUGCAGUUAAAACUAUUAAUUAAAUUGA